GCCACUGAAUAUAGCUCAGUCGGUAGAACAUGAGAUGCUUAAUUUCAGGGUUGUGGGUUUGAUCCCCACAUUGCGGGGGGUU